rnacentral:misc_RNA from 1 species
CCGAGUGAGGGCCUCCGGCCCGACCUCCAACCCUUUGUUGACCAACACCUGUUGCCUCGGGGGCGACCCGGACGCCGACGCGUCGGCCGUCGGGCACCCCGGUGGACCACUGCAACUCUGUCAUCCGUGCGUCGGAGUACUUUGCGAAUCAAUCA